GAUGAACGCUGGCGGCGUGCCUAAUACAUGCAAGUCGAGCGAACGGACGAGAAGCUUGCUUUUCUGAUGUUAGCGGCGGACGGGUGAGUAACACGUGGAUAACCUACCUAUAAGACUGGGAUAACUUCGGGAAACCGGAGCUAAUACCGGAUAAUAUUUUGAACCGCAUGGUUCAAAAGUGAAAGACGGUCUUGCUGUCACUUAUAGAUGGAUCCGCGCUGCAUUAGCUAGUUGGUAAGGUAACGGCUUACCAAGGCAACGAUGCAUAGCCGACCUGAGAGGGUGAUCGGCCACACUGGAACUGAGACACGCACCACACUCCUACGGGAGGCAGCAGUAGGGAAUCUUCCGCAAUGGGCGAAAGCCUGACGGAGCAACGCCGCGUGAGUGAUGAAGGUCUUCGGAUCGUAAAACUCUGUUAUUAGGGAAGAACAUAUGUGUAAGUAACUGUGCACAUCUUGACGGUACCUAAUCAGAAAGCCACGGCUAACUACGUG
rnacentral:rRNA from 1 species